CCAAGUUCUGCUCCCUUCUAGAAACAACAUAGACAAAGAAAGCAAAAGGAAAGAAAUGCUGACAGAGACCCACAAAGGCCGCUGUGAUUUGGUAAAGCACCAAGCCUGCCAACACGUCCUAUGGAAAGGGAGGGCAGACACAACCACAGUUGGCAGGGAGAACAGCCAAGCCGCAGUACAGCUAAUGACAGUCACCACUCUGGAGAAAUGCUUCAAAGGGCAGCUGCAGAGGUGGCAGCCAGCUCACUGAGGAAAACGGUCUUGAUCAGGCUGGAGUGCAGCGACAUAAUCACAGCUCACUGCAUCCUCAGACUCCUGGGCUCAAGCAAUCCUCCCAUCUCAGUCUUCCAAGUAAUUAGGACUAGAAGUGUGUAUUAGUCUGUUCUCAAGCUGCUGAUGAAGACGUACCCUAGACUGGGCAAUUUGCAAAAGACAGAGGUUUAAUGGACUCACAGUUCCACGUGACUGCAGAUGCCUCACCAUGGCAGCAGAUGAGAGAAGAGAAUCAGAGCCAAGUGAAAGGGGUUUCCCCUUAUAAAGCCACCAGAUCUCAUGAGUCUUAUUCACUACCACGACAACAGUAUGGGGGAAACUGCCACCCCCAUGAUUCAAUUAUCUCCCACUGGGUCCCUCCCACAACAUGAGGGAAUUAUGGGAGCUACAAUUCAUGAGAUUUAUGAGAUU
rnacentral:lncRNA from 1 species